rnacentral:tRNA from 1 species
AGUAUUAUGUCUGAAAAAGAAAUAAAUUGUAAAUUUAUUAAUGAAAAUUAAAAUUUUUCUGAUACUA